UACAGAGGUCCCAAGCGUUGUUCGGAUUCACUGGGCGUAAAGGGUGCGUAGGUGGCCCGCUAAGUCACACGUGAAAUCCCUCAGCUUAACUGGGGAACUGCGUGUGAGACUGGCAGGCUUGAGUGCAGGAGAGGAACGCGGAAUUCCAGGUGUAGCGGUGAAAUGCGUAGAGAUCAGGAGAAACACCGAUGGCGAAAGCAGGUGACUAGACCACUAUUGACACUGAGCCACGAAAGCUAGGGGAGCAAACAGG
rnacentral:rRNA from 1 species